AUUGAACGCUGGCGGCAGGCCUAACACAUGCAAGUCGAACGGUAACAGAAAGCAGCUUGCUGCUUUGCUGACGAGUGGCGGACGGGUGAGUAAUGUCUGGGAAACUGCCUGAUGGAGGGGGAUAACUACUGGAAACGGUAGCUAAUACCGCAUAACGUCGCAAGACCAAAGAGGGGGACCUUCGGGCCUCUUGCCAUCGGACGUGCCCAGAUGGGAUUAGCUAGUGGGUGGGGUAACGGCUCACCUAGGCGACGAUCCCUAGCUGGUCUGAGAGGAUGACCAGCCACACUGGAACUGAGACACGGUCCAGACUCCUACGGGAGGCAGCAGUGGGGAAUAUUGCACAAUGGGCGCAAGCCUGAUGCAGCCAUGCCGCGUGUAUGAAGAAGGCCUUCGGGUUGUAAAGUACUUUCAGCGAGGAGGAAGGUGUUGUGGUUAAUAACCACAGCAAUUGACGUUACUCGCAGAAGAAGCACCGGCUAACUCCGUGCCAGCCGCCGCAGUAA
rnacentral:rRNA from 1 species